UACAGAGGUGGCAAGCGUUGUUCGGAAUUACUGGGCGUAAAGGGCGCGUAGGCGGCCUUCUAAGUCAGACGUGAAAUCCCUCGGCUCAACCGGGGAACUGCGUCUGAUACUGGGAGGCUUGAAUCCGGGAGAGGAAUGCGGAAUUCCAGGUGUAGCGGUGAAAUGCGUAGAUAUCUGGAGGAACACCGGUGGCGAAGGCGGCAUUCUGGACCGGCAUUGACGCUGAGGCGCGAAAGCCAGGGGAGCAAACGGG
rnacentral:rRNA from 1 species